rnacentral:rRNA from 1 species
ACGUACACUCCUGCGGGAGGCAGCAGUGGGGAAUAUUGGACAAUGGGCGCAAGCCUGAUCCAGCCAUGCCGCGUGAGUGAUGAAGGCCCUAGGGUUGUAAAGCUCUUUCACCGGUGAAGAUAAUGACGGUAACCGGAGAAGAAGCCCCGGCUAACUUCGUGCCAGCAGCCGCGGUAAUACGAAGGGGGCUAGCGUUGUUCGGAUUUACUGGGCGUAAAGCGCACGUAGGCGGACUAUUAAGUCAGGGGUGAAAUCCCGGGGCUCAACCCCGGAACUGCCUUUGAUACUGGUAGUCUUGAGUUCGAGAGAGGUGAGUGGAAUUCCGAGUGCAGAGGUGAAAUUCGUAGAUAUUCGGAGGAACACCAGUGGCGAAGGCGGCUCACUGGCUCGAUACUGACGCUGAGGUGCGAAAGCGUGGGGAGCAAACAGGAUUAGAUACCCGAGUAGUCCCA